UAUUGCGCAAUGGGCGAAAGCCUGACGCAGCAACGCCGCGUGAGGGAUGACGGCCUUCGGGUUGUAAACCUCUUUCAGCGCUGACGAAGCCUUCGGGUGACGGUAGGCGCAGAAGAAGCACCGGCUAACUACGUGCCAGCAGCCGCGGUAAUACGUAGGUGGCAAGCGUUGUCCGGAUUUACUGGGCGUAAAGCGCGCGCAGGCGGACUGGUUAGUCCGGGGUGAAAGCUCAUGGCUCAACUGUGAGUGGUCCCCGGAUACUGCCCGUCUUGAGGGGUCUAGAGGAGAGCGGAAUUCCCGGUGUAGUGGUGGAAUGCGUAGAUAUCGGGAAGAACACCAGUGGCGAAAGCGGCUCUCUGGGGACCACCUGACGCUGAGGCGCGAAAGCGUGGGGAGCGAAC
rnacentral:rRNA from 1 species